CAGCACCUCAAGUGGUCAGGAUGAUUAUUGGGCCUAAAGCAUCCGUAGCCUGCUUUGCCAGUUUUCGGUUAAAUCCAUACGCUCAACGUACAGGCUGCCGGGAAUACUGCAGCGCUAGGGAGUGGGAGAGGUAGACGGUACUCGGUAGGAAGGGGUAAAAUCCUUUGAUCUAUUGAUGACCACCUGUGGCGAAGGCGGUCUACCAGAACACGUCCGACGGUGAGGGAUGAAAGCUGGGGGAGCAAACCGGAUUAGAUACCCGAGUAGUCC
rnacentral:rRNA from 1 species